AACCCUAAUCUCUUCUCUCUCGCGCAAGACCGACGAUCUCCUUCUGAGCCCUUUCAUCUUCUUCCGUUAGUCGUUCACGUUUUGUCAUUCAAUCCACCAUCAAACCUUAGGCUGAGACGAUGAAUAUCUUCUGCCUCUCCUAUCUUUGUCGUUUCCGCUACUCCAUCCCUGUGUCUUUAUAAAUUAAACAUUUUAAAGCCUCUUAUGCUCUUUGACAAAAAAAAAGGUCUCUUAAGCUCCCACGAACAGGUCCUGUAACACUACCGUCGAAACUUUGUGUUCUCAGAUUUUGCAAGGUCGGGAAUCGGGAUGUGAUCAGAAAUGGCAAGCUUAUGGGGUCGGUCUACUUCUUCUUGACGCUAAGCUUAUGCAGGCCCGGAUUGCAAAUCUUUAACGAGUCAUAUGAUUAUGAACUGACGUGAUCAAAUCAGAAGCCAAUCUAAUCCCAUGAGAUCUUCCCGUAAGGGUCAAUACCUAUGGCCCAGAUUGCAAAUUUUUAAAAGAAAGUUGUUCAAGUAGAUGUCAAAGGUACCUCUUUUCAUUAAGUU